rnacentral:rRNA from 1 species
GAAUUCACUCCAAACCCCUGUGACAUACCAAUUGUUGCCUCGGCGGAUCAGCCCGCUCCCGGUAAAACGGGACGGCCCGCCAGAGGACCCCUAAACUCUGUUUCUAUAUGUAACUUCUGAGUAAAACCAUAAAUAAAUCAAAACUUUCAACAACGGAUCUCUUGGUUCUGGCAUCGAUGAAGAACGCAGCAAAAUGCGAUAAGUAAUGUGAAUUGCAGAAUUCAGUGAAUCAUCGAAUCUUUGAACGCACAUUGCGCCCGCCAGUAUUCUGGCGGGCAUGCCUGUUCGAGCGUCAUUUCAACCCUCAAGCCCAGCUUGGUGUUGGGACUCGCGAGUCAAAUCGCGUUCCCCAAAUUGAUUGGCGGUCACGUCGAGCUUCCAUAGCGUAGUAGUAAAACCCUCGUUACUGGUAAUCGUCGCGGCCACGCCGUUAAACCCCAACUUCUGAAUGUUGACCUCGGAUCAGGUAGGAAUACCCGCUGAACUUAAGCAUAUCAAAAGG